GUGCCAGCAGCCGCGGUAAUACGUAGGUGGCAAGCGUUAUCCGGAAUUAUUGGGCGUAAAGCGCGCGUAGGCGGUUUUUUAAGUCUGAUGUGAAAGCCCACGGCUCAACCGUGGAGGGUCAUUGGAAACUGGAAAACUUGAGUGCAGAAGAGGAAAGUGGAAUUCCAUGUGUAGCGGUGAAACAGCGCAGAGAUAUGGAGGAACACCAGUGGCGAAGGCGACUUUCUGGUCUGUAACUGACGCUGAUGUGCGAAAGCGUGGGGAUCAAACAGGAUU
rnacentral:rRNA from 1 species